AUGUCUAUUUGGAUGCUACAAACAACAUAUAUUUCCUGGAAUAGAAAUCAACCUUUUCACAGAAUGCUUUCUUGGUAUCCCAGCUCCCCUCAGAAGACAGAACAGUAUUCAUUGCCUCCAAAUAGCUAUGAUCUCCACAAUGUGAGGCUUGCCAACUCCAAGUUAAUCGUCACAGGCUGUGGCAUUGCCUACCUCCAAAUAUACGCCAUUUGUUACAUCCAUGUGCUCACAUCUGCUCUGCUAUCAAGACAAUGA
rnacentral:lncRNA from 1 species